GAAGGCUGAGGCAGGAGAAUUGCUUGAACCCUGGAGGCAGAGGUUGCAGUGAGCCGAGAUUGUGCCACUACACUUCACCCUGGGUGACAGUGAGACUCCAUCUCAAACAAACACCUCCAAUGCUCUUUCUCAAAUACCAUGGCUACCCUUCUUCCUGCUUUGCUUCAUCUGUCACACAAGUAAUAUAUACUCAUUAAAGAAAAAGACAAGCAAAAUGAAAACAAAAGUCAUCCCUAAUCCCACUGCUGAAGAGUUACUAUCUUACCAACAUUUUUCUAAGCAUAUGUACAACUUUAAAACAAGCACAAAAGAAUAAUAUUGCGGCGGGGACGGUGUCUCACGCCUGUAGUCCCAACACUUUGGGAGGCCCAGGCGGGUGGAUCACUUGAGGCCAGGAUUUCGAGACCAGCCUGGCCAACAUGGUGAAACCCUGUCUAUAUUAAAAAUACAACAAGGAGGGACUCCCCGCCGCCGCCUGGGCCCGGCCCCACACCGUGGGUCGACGUGAUCCGCUGCAGCCUGGCCUGCGAGCGCUGCAGCUGGAUCCUGACCCUGCUCCUACUCAGCGCCAUCGCCUUUGACAUCAUAGCCCUGGCCGGCCGCGGCAGGCGGCAGUCAAGCGACCACGUCCAGACGUCCUUGCUAUGGUGGAGAUGUUUCCACGAGGGCAGCGACGGCAGCGGGUCCUAAGAGGACGGCUGCUAGAGCCUCAUGGAGUACGCGUUGGGUAGAGCAGCAGCUGCCAUGCUCUUCUGGGGCUUCAGCAUCCUGGUGAUCUGUUUCAUCCUCUCCUUCUUCUUCAUCCUGUGUGUACCCCAGAUGCUUGUCUUCCUAAGAGUGAUUGGAGGUCUCUUUGUCUUGGUUGCUGUGUUCCAGAUCAUCUCCCUGGUAAUUUACCCCGUGAAGUACACCCAAACCUUCAACCUUCAGGCCAGCCCUUGCUGUCACUUACAUCUAUAACUGGCCCUACGGCUUUGGGUGGGCAGCCACGAUUAUCCUCAUCAGCUGCGCUUUCUUCUGCUACUGCCUCCCCAACAAUGAAGAUGACCUCCUGGGCAAUACCAAGCCUAAGGACUUCUACACAUCUGCCUAACUUGGGAAUGAGCGUGGGAGAAAAUCGCCACUGCCAAGAUGGAUUCCAGAAAAAGAAACUGUUUGUCUAGGCUACUUUGAACCUAUUUUUUGGCAGUGUUCAUAGUCAAAAAUGCUAAAAUAAUUUGGGAGAAAAUAUUUUUAAAGUAGUGUUAUAGUUUUAUGUUCACCUUUUAUUAUGUUUGGUGAAGUUGUGUAUUUUCACUAAUUACCUAUAUUAUGCCAAUAUUUCUUUAUAUCUACCCAUAACAUUGAUGCUACAUUUGUAAGAUAAUAUGAACAUGAAACUUAACACUUUAUAAGGUAAAAAUGAGAUGGUUUCCAAGAUUUAA